rnacentral:rRNA from 1 species
AGUUUGUUGUUUAUUAAUAACAAGUACUUUCUGCCCGGUGAUAUUUUUAACGGCCGCGGUACUCUGACCGUGCAAAGGUAGCAUAAUCAUUUGCUUUUUAAUUGGGGGCUUGUAUGAAGGAAAAAACGAAUGCCUAGCUGUCUCUGCAUAAAGAUUAGAAUUUUCUGUUACUGUGAAGAAGCAGUAAUGCUAGAAAGGGACAAGAAGACCCUAUCGAGCUUUAUUGUCAGGUAGAAGUUAAACUAGUAUUAAUAAAGGUUGUAGUUUUACAUACAAUUUCGUUGGGGCGACGAAAAAAGAAAGAAUCUUUUUUAAGUAUAGGACUUUAUUAGUCCAAUUUUGAACGGCUAAUGGCCUUUAAGAGAACCAGUUACCGUAGGGAUAACAGCGUAAUUCCUUUUGAGAGUUCGAAUCGAAAAAGGAGAUUGCGACCUCGAUGUUGACUUACUUUUUCCUUGCUGGCGCAGAAGCUAUGAGGGUUGGUCUGUUCGACCAUUAAAAUAGU